GUAGGGAAUAUUGGGCAAUGGAGGAAACUCUGACCCAGCCAUGCCGCGUGAAGGAUGAAGGUCCUACGGAUUGUAAACUUCUUUUAUUAGGGAAGAAACGUCUCGAUUCAUCGGGACCUGACGGUACCUAAGGAAUAAGCACCGGCUAACUCCGUGCCAGCAGCCGCGGUAAUACGGAGGGUGCAAGCGUUAUCCGGAUUCACUGGGUUUAAAGGGUGCGUAGGUGGAUUAAUAAGUCAGUGGUGAAAGCCCCGAGCUCAACUUGGGAAUUGCCAUUGAAACUGUUAGUCUUGAGUGCGGUUGAGGUAGGCGGAAUAAGUCAUGUAGCGGUGAAAUGCUUAGAUAUGACUUAGAACACCGAUUGCGAAGGCAGCUUACCAAGCCGAUACUGACACUGAUGCACGAAAGCGUGGGGAUCAAACAGGAUUAGAAACCCUAGUAGUCC
rnacentral:rRNA from 1 species